rnacentral:tRNA from 1 species
GGCGCGUCAACAAGCAUCAAACUUCGCAUUUACCUUAUUUUAAAAGGUAAUGCAUCGCAUGCCACUGUCGC